rnacentral:rRNA from 1 species
UUCCCCUAGUAACGGCGAGAAGCGGGAGCCCAGCACCGAAUCUCCUGCAGCAGCGAGAGUUGUGGUGUUUAGGACAGCCGUGGCGAUGUCGGAUGUCCAAGUCCGUCUGAUCGCGGCCUUUCAGUGGGUGUCAGGCCUUUACCGGCAUCUGACGCGUCACUCUGAUCCUUGGAGUCGGGUUGUUUGGGAAUGCAGCCCAAAGUGGGUGGUAAACUCCACCUCUAAAUACUGACACGAGACCGAUAGCGGACAAGUACCGUGAGGGAAAGUUGAAAAGGACUUUGAAGAGAGAGUUCAAGAGUACGUGAAACCGUUUAGAGGUAAACGGAUAGGACCACAAAGUCGACCGGGUAAUUCAACUGCUGGCGUUGGUGCUGCAUUGCCAUGCGUCGGCCCGGCAGGUGCACUUUGCGGAGAGCGCCACGACCGGUUCGCGGCAGUCACAAGCUCUAAGGUAGGUAGGCCUUCGGUUACUGUUAUAGGCAGCUGGCCUGCUGGUGGACCGAGGAUCUGCCGUGCCCGCCGGGCUCUUGCACGUCAACUGGGGUGGACUGCUUGUGCGCUCCGACCGUCUGCUGUGGGUGAGUCCCGAGGGCACACAGGGUCAGUGGCGAAUCGGUUGGCCCCCUAUCCGACCCGUCUUGAAACACGGACCAAGGAGUCUAACAUGUGCGCAAGUCAUGGGGUUCUACGAAACCUAAGGCGCAAUGAAAGUGAAGGCUUUCCUUGCCUAGGUAGGAUCUCGGGGCGAGCGCACUACCGGCCCGUCCCACUCAUCGUAGGAGAGGCGGCGCAAGAGCGUACACGUUGGGACCCGAAAGAUGGUGAACUAUGCCUGAGUAGGUUGAAGCCAGAGGAAACUCUGGUGGAGGACCGUAGCGAUUCUGACGUGCAAAUCGAUCGUCAAACUUGGGUAUA